UACGUAGGGUGCGAGCGUUAAUCGGAAUUACUGGGCGUAAAGCGUGCGCAGGCGGUUCGUUGUGUCGGCGGUGAAAGCCCCGGGCUUAACCUGGGAAUGGCCGUCGAAACUGGCGAACUGGAGUGUGGCAGAGGGGGGUGGAAUUCCGCGUGUAGCAGUGAAAUUCGUAGAUAUUCGGAAGAACACCAGUGGCGAAGGCGACUUACUGGACACGUAUUGACGCUGAGGUGCGAAAGCGUGGGGAGCAAACAGG
rnacentral:rRNA from 1 species